rnacentral:sRNA from 1 species
GCUGGGUAUGGUGGUGCACACUUGUAAUCCCAGUGACUUGGGAGGCUGAGACAGGAGGAUUGCAAGUUUGAGACCACCCUUAGCAACUAAAUGAGGAGAUCCUGUCUCAA